rnacentral:rRNA from 1 species
GAACGCUGGCGGCAGGCUUAACACAUGCAAGUCGAGCGGGCGUAGCAAUACGUCAGCGGCAGACGGGUGAGUAACGCGUGGGAACGUACCUUUUGGUUCGGAACAACCCAGGGAAACUUGGGCUAAUACCGGAUAAGCCCUUACGGGGAAAGAUUUAUCGCCGAAAGAUCGGCCCGCGUCUGAUUAGCUAGUUGGUGAGGUAAUGGCUCACCAAGGCGACGAUCAGUAGCUGGUCUGAGAGGAUGAUCAGCCACAUUGGGACUGAGACACGGCCCAAACUCCUACGGGAGGCAGCAGUGGGGAAUAUUGGACAAUGGGCGCAAGCCUGAUCCAGCCAUGCCGCGUGAGUGAUGAAGGCCCUAGGGUUGUAAAGCUCUUUUGUGCGGGAAGAUAAUGACGGUACCGCAAGAAUAAGCCCCGGCUAACUUCGUGCCAGCAGCCGCGGUAAUACGAAGGGGGCUAGCGUUGCUCGGAAUCACUGGGCGUAAAGGGUGCGUAGGCGGGUCUUUAAGUCAGGGGUGAAAUCCUGGAGCUCAACUCCAGAACUGCCUUUGAUACUGAAGAUCUU